rnacentral:lncRNA from 1 species
AGCUGUAAAAAAUCAUCAAAAUCGAAGUUAAAAUAACCGUUAAAUCGUGAUUUUUUGUUUGUAACCGUCAAAAAGUUUUGUCCCGUUACUUGAUCUCUGAAUGUUUGUUUUUGUGAUUUUUGGCAUAUGCGAUCUCAAAGCAUAUAUAAACAAGUUUAACGGUUGGAUCAAUGCAAUUAGUUUCAUAGAAUGCAUAUCCCAUCAAAAUGAUAGAUUCACUAACUCUUAGAGUUUAUUUAUACUUUCAUUAAGUAUAACAUAAGACUUUGUGGUAUCCACUAGUGUAAAUAUUUUAAAUUGAAGAUCGAGCUCAUUCAUUGUAUUCAUGUAGGGUCAAGGAGUGUAUCUGUUAAAAAUCAUCAAAAUCAGAGUUAAAAUCACCGUUAAAUCAUGAUUUUUCUUUUAUAACCGUUGAAAAGUUUUGUCCUAUUACUUGAUCUCUGAAUGUUUGUUUUUUGAGAUUUUUUGCUGAUGUGAUCUUGAAGCAUAUACAAACAAGUUUGAUGGUUGGAUCGUUGAAAUUAGUUUCGUAGUAUUCGUAUCCCAUUAAGUUCAAUGGUGUGUGUAUAUAUAUAUUUAUAAAGUAGAAUUAAAUUUAUUUAUUUUGUAUGUAUAACACUUAAGAAAUUGAAUGGUAUGUAUAUUUAAGCUGAUCCAAUGGUCACCAAUUUUUUAA